UGCGGCCAGAAGGGGUGGAGCCAGGCUCCACCCCUCUUAGGCCUCAUUUAAGGGCUGACUGCCUCUGAGGAAGGGUUUCUUCCUGGAGAUCCAUCCUUGGUGGGAGCCUUUUCCUCCAAGUAUAACAUCUUCUGAUCUGGAACAGUACAAUUCCUCAGUCUCUCCAGAACACCUAGUUCUGUCAGAUGUUUAUGGAAGGUGUGGAACUUCUACGCAGUGUCAUCUCCAGCUGCCUCCCAGCCCUCUUCUCCUAUCCCCCUCCUAAAGACUAAAAAGUAUCAAAUGCAAUUUUUGCGGAUGAGAAGCGUCCCUGUGUGACCAGGCUACUUCAUGGAGCACUCUUGCUCAUGAUGAGGUCUAAUUCCAAAUUGAAAAGCAAAAUUACUUUCGUACUCUGCUCUCCUUUGCCUCUCUGCUUUAAGAGUUAAUUGCCCCCUUGCACUUCUGCAGCUUCUUCCUUAGCUAAAAAGAAUAAAAAUACUUAAUUACUGUAUAAACUCAAUUUCUUUUCUUUUUGGGUUUGACUAUUUGUGAAUUUCCUUUCUUGCUUGAUGUAU